AGAGGUUGCAGUGGGCUAUGAUCAUGCCACUGCACUCCAGCCUGGGUGACAGAGCAAAACCCUGUCUCUGAAACAAUACAAUACAGUACAGAUGAAAUAAAAUAAAUAAGAAAAGGGGAAAUUUGGACACAGAGACAGAUGUGCACACAGGGAGAAUGCCAUGUGAAGAUUGGAGUUAUGCUGCCACAAGCCAGGCGACCCCAGUCCCCAGCCGGGGACCAGUACCAGUCCAUGGCCUGUUAGGAACGGGGCCACACAGCAGGAGGCAUCACCAACUGUACUCAGAUCAUUGCCUCAAAGUCUGUGCAUCAGUCUGCUCAGGCUGCCAUAACAAACUACGACAGACAGCAGGGUGGCUUAAACAACAGAAAUUAAUUGUCAGCUCUUGAAGCCAGAAGUCCAAAAUCAAGGCUUAAAGAAAAGACUAGGAUGUACCUGCGAGUGGGAUGGACAGGAGAGAGAGGCUGGUCUGACUUCAGCAGAGGGAGGUGCCAGGGGGACAAUGGAAGCUUGGCCCUGUGAGGCAAUGGCUGGCUGUCACAGAAGAGUAUGCGGGGCAAGUUAGCCAUAUUCAUUCAUUCACCUAUUCUUUCAAAAAUUGAGACUCUACUAUGUGCCAAGCCCUGGGGUCAGGGCUGGGGAUCCUGCAGGAAGACGAUAGACAAGUCAUGACACAUGGAAGGAGUGUUAGGAAAGUGGAACCAUGGGAGGCACCAAGAGCCCAGAGCCAAGACCUCUGAGCUGGCUUGGGGUCAGGGAGGGCCAUCCCUCCAUCCAUCCAACAAAUGUUUAUUUCUCUUUUUUUUCGAGAUAGAAUCUCGCUCUGUGGCCCAGGCUGGGGUCAGGGAGGGCCUACACUUAAGUGGACCCUGAGGAAUGCAGAGCCUUCGGAGGAACCCUCAGCUCCUGGGACAAGAUGGGAUACACCUGCCAUGCUCCCUACCUAACACUUGGCCUGGCCUCACAUCCUUCCCCUGAACCUGGGCAGGCCUCAAACAUCUGCAGGAGAGACCCCUUCCUGUGGGGAGCGAGUCUGCACACAAAGAGAGGGUAGUCCAGGAAGAUGGAGAACAGGAAGGGCUUUGUAGCCCCCGCAUUAGCUCUUCACUCGUAAACUCUUCUGCCUCCCAAAUUCGAGGCCUUGAGGGUCAGUAUCAACUACAGUUGAAGAGCUCAGGAGACUGCACUCGGUGGUC
rnacentral:lncRNA from 1 species